CAAUGCCGCGUGAGUGAAGAAGGCCUUCGGGUUGUAAAGCUCUUUUGUCAGGGAAGAGACGGCCGAGACUAAUAUUCUUGGCUAAUGACGGUACCUGAAGAAUAAGCACCGGCUAACUACGUGCCAGCAGCCGCGGUAAUACGUAGGGUGCAAGCGUUAAUCGGAAUUACUGGGCGUAAAGCGUGCGCAGGCGGUUUUGUAAGUCUGUCGUGAAAGCCCCGGGCUCAACCUGGGAAUUGCGAUGGAGACUGCAAGGCUUGAAUCUGGCAGAGGGGGGUAGAAUUCCACGUGUAGCAGUGAAACGCGUAGAGAUGUGGAGGAACACCGAUGGCGAAGGCAGCCCCCUGGGUCAAGAUUGACGCUCAUGCACGAAAGCGUGGGGAGCAAACAGGAUUAGAUACCCUGGUAGUCCACGCCCUAAACGAUGUCUACUAGUUGUCGGGUUUUAAUUAACUUGGUAACGCAGCUAACGCGUGAAGUAGACCGCCUGGGGAGUACGGUCGCAAGAUUA
rnacentral:rRNA from 1 species